AGGGAAUAUUGGACAAUGGGCGCAAGCCUGAUCCAGCCAUCCCGCGUGAAGGAUGAAGGUCCUCUGGAUUGUAAACUUCUUUUCUUCGGGAAUAAAAACUGGGGUUCUCCUCAGCUUGAAGGUACCGAAGGAAUAAGCACCGGCUAACUCCGUGCCAGCAGCCGCGGUAAUACGGAGGGUGCAAGCGUUAUCCGGAUUCACUGGGUUUAAAGGGUGCGUAGGUGGCUUUGUAAGUCAGUGGUGAAAGCUCGGAGCUCAACUCCGAAACUGCCAUUGAUACUGCUUAGCUUGAAUCAGGUCGAGGUGGAUGGAAUGUGACAUGUAGCGGUGAAAUGCUUAGAUAUGUUACAGAACACCGAUUGCGAAGGCAGUUCACCAGCCCUGUAUUGACACUGAGGCACGAAAGCGUGGGGAUCAAAC
rnacentral:rRNA from 1 species